AGGUUUUUGAAACCACUGCCGAAGACAGCAGGUUUGGAACAGGGAUUCCAACUAACGCAAAACGCCUGCCGAGGAAUGUGAAUCACUUGAUAGAUUAUUACAUCUCCGAUCGUCUUUGAUUAGGAGAUUUUUUUAUUGUAUA
rfam:Roseburia sp. CAG:303 genomic scaffold, scf313